rnacentral:lncRNA from 1 species
GGCAACCGCUGUCAUGAAGGAUUUUUUAAAAUUCAAUUUUGAUUUUGCUGGAAUCCCGUAAAGGCUUUCGUUUUGAUUUCAAGUUUAAUUUCAGAUAGACUCUCCUGUAAUUCACCUUCCCAGGAAAAGUCUUUUUUCCCCCCUCUGAUCUGGCUGUUCAUGAGUGCUGUCCUUUGCCUCUCUUAGUUAGGGCUGGGUGAAACCCGUCAGGCUCACAUCCAUGGCUUUGAUUGUCUCUCUUUUUACUUCCUGUAUUGGAUGUUUCUCACGUUUUCAAUUGUAUUUAUGCUUAAUUUUCCAAACAUCUCUGUUCUGAACAGAGAAAAAUAUCUUAUUUGGAUAUAUACCCUAAAUAGUGAUAAUAAUAAGUUAUUAUUACAGUAACGCGCAUUUACCGAGCACUUACUGUGUGGCACGUGCACCAUGUUCCCUCCCACUUUGUUUCAUUGCAGCAGCUUUUUUUUCCCCCAGGAUGCUCUUCAUCCUGCUGCCCUUUCUUAACCCUUACUUAUACCUUAGGCCUCUGCUGACUGGGAAUUUCUCAAGAAAUUCUUGCAAAGUCCCUCACGGCAUCAUGAACUGCUCCUUCCUUGCUUACAUCACAAUUGUAGCUUGGCUUUUAUUUAUGGGUAGGCUUCAUACACCACUGCACUCGGGAUCUGCCUUCCACUCAUCUUCCCACUGAUCCUCCCCAUCCCUGCCCACCUUCUUUUUCCAUUAGCCCAAGACAACUGACAACAUGAUAUACGUGGCAGGCGAGACCACCAGGUGAGGUAAGAAGGUAUUCCCAAGACAACUCCCACAAAAUUUGGGGGAUGUUAUGAGUGGUGGGAACCCAUGGAAAGUGGUAGAAGAAUCACUGUCCAUGUGGUGGAUUUAAAGCAUUUCAAGGCUCCCCAGAGCACAGAGCUUGCAUGUUGCUCAAGCAUGGUCCUUAAUUAGGGGCUGCAAGAAAGAUGCAAACCUGGACAUUAAGCCAUUCCAUAAUGAUCAGGGUGACCCAAG